UACAGAGGGUGCAAGCGUUGUUCGGAAUUACUGGGCGUAAAGGGCGCGUAGGCGGCUUUUCAAGUCGGGCGUGAAAUCUCCAGGCUUAACCUGGAAGGGUCGUUCGAUACUGUUAAGCUAGAGUGUGGAAGAGGCUACUGGAAUUCCCGGUGUAGCGGUGAAAUGCGCAGAUAUCGGGAGGAACACCAGUGGCGAAGGCGGCACUCUGGGCCGGUACUGACGCUGAGGAGCGAAAGCGUGGGGAGCGAACAGG
rnacentral:rRNA from 1 species